UUAAGUUCAGCGGGUAAUCUUGCCUGAUCCGAGGUCGACCAAUAUAAUUUUGGGUUACAGGCAAUCCUUUACGAAAGACACCAGAACACAUUUUGCUGUGCUUGGGCUAACUUCAGACGCCAAUCAGUUUGAAGCAACUGGUUUUCUCUACAGAGAGACAGCCAGGAGCUCAUCGCAAGGCAAAGCCUUAUGGUCUUUAA
rnacentral:misc_RNA from 1 species